GGCUACUAAAACAGAAAACAGAUCACCACAGAAGCUCUUGCAGCUACCUGAAAGAAGCAGACACAGAAAGGAAAAGCAAAGCACAGGACAAAGAGGGAGCCCUUGGCGGGGUCUGAGGCGCCUCUCAGGGCUGGGGUAAGCGCGGCUGUGGGGUGCAAGCUUCCCCAGACUGCAGCCUGGCCCGGGUGACAGCGCCACCUCUGGCUCUGGCCACGACGUCGACGGGGGGUCUUGACGCAGCCGUCCCAAGCUCAGGAAGGCGGACCAGGCCGCCAGACAGACCCCGCCCUCCACCUGACGCGUCUGUUAUGGCUAAUUCCUUCCGCAUGUGGGGCGCACAGGGCGCUGAGCUCGCCUUGGAAUCUUCCUGGUAAUCCACACUUGCUCGGGGCAGGCAGGAGCCAGGCACCAGGUCUCCAACAAAGGGUGGAGAAACGAGUACGAUGUGAGCCCCAUUUCCCACAGACCCAGCCGCGGAAAAUAGUACUGAAUAUCAACGGCGUCCGCCCUCCACAUCUCGGAUCAGUGUGCACAGCGUGCUGCACGGCGGGAUCACUGCUAAAUCCACCGCACAGACGCACACGGCAGUCCCCGGGGCUGCACUGUCCAAAGCCAGUAAGUGGGGCUCCAAGCGAACCCCACCUCGUGACCGCAGAGUUGCUCAGAGAAGCUCCCGAGGCCUCCCCCGCCUGCCUUUGGAGGGCACAGGAGUCGCUCGCUCGGGCUAAGGAAGCCGCCUGGCCGUCGUCAGUCACUUGGGUGGGAGUGGUGGCCUCCCCGGGACCCCCGGGAAGGUGGCUCUGCUGUCCGUGUGCCAGAGCUGCUGAGUGGCUUCUGCAGGUUUCCCACUGCUUGGGGCCAGUGUGGUGACUGAGCUGUCUGAGCUGCAGGGUUUGUACCGGUGCCCGCUCUGAGCUCAGGGUUCAGGGAGCUGCUGGGCCUGUCCCGCAGGUGUCUCGCAGGUGUCCACAGUGGUGGAAGAGCAGCGAGGGCUGCAGUGGUCGAGGCUCUGGGACCUCAGGCCCUGCUCACCCCACAUGCAGGUGAGGAGCCCGUGUCAUAGUUGGGCAGGUGCUGGGAUCAGCGUCCAAGCAGCUGUGCUGGGGAGCCGGGUAUGGGGGCUGAGUUCAGAGAAAUUCCCCCCCCAAAAUAAAAUGGGAUGUCAUCACUUUCCUGUAUGACUCGGAGGUAAGGAGCCUGAGUCCAGGGGAGGAGAGUGAGUAGCGGGCCUCAUGCUGCAGGAAAAGGUGCACACUGCAGAGGAAGGUGGGGGAGCCUGGUCCUCGAGACCCCACAGCUUGGUGUUGGAAGCUGAGCUGGAUCUUUCUAGGGCUAACCGUGGCCUGAGUUUCAUUCAGCAAAAACAUGGGCAGGUGGUUCGCGGAAAGACCGAGACCUCCAAUGUGACACAAGGAGCUGGUGAAAGAGGAGGCUUUUAGUCAGGGUUGGUGGUGCACACCUACUGAUCACAACACACUGGGAGGCUGAGGCAGGAGGGUGCAAGUUUGAGCUUAGCCUAGAGCAAGUUAACAAUUUAGCAAGACAUUGUCUCAAGACAAAAAAUAAGAAAAGGGCUGGGUAUUUCAUGCUAAGAGUGACACAGCCAGUGUUUUGGGGUGGCACAAUGAAUCCAGCCUGCAGUGAUCACCCUGGGUAGCAGACUGGAGGGAGAGGCCCAUUAGGGCUGUUGCAGGUGCUGGGCAG
rnacentral:lncRNA from 1 species